CUUGCGGGCCAGACGGAGGGCAGCACCAGCCAGCUGAGCGGGCAGAUACACCACACAACGACCCUCAAGAAGCGACAGCUCCAACAGCAGCCAGAAAGAGGCAAACCACACCCAACAACUGCAGGCCGGAGAUGGACACUUUGAUGAGCCGGAGCGCUCGAUUCAACAAGUGCACUGCCAGAUAAAGCGUUUCCUCCGAGAACUGAAACACUUCCUAAGGUUUGUAGUGCUGUCCUGAACCAAUCUCCUCUCCUUCAGCAAACACCUUGCGCUCCCUCAGAACACAGGAGUUUGCCCAAGUCCGCAGCGGCACUUGUCUGUCCUCGGUCUUCAAGCACAAAAGUCUCAUUUACUCGGUACACUCAAACAAAACAACUUUUUUUUUUUUUUGCUGCUUGAUCAAACCAUCACACUUAAUUGUUUUGACAAAUUUAAGUGGAUUGAACAUUAAAAUUAAGUUAACUUUAAUUUGUAUUGGGACAACAUGAAGGAAUUGUGUGGAACCCAACAUUUUUUAUUUUUUUUUUACAGUGUAGUUUAAGCAUUGACCGUUCAAAUAUGGCAGUCUUUUUAUCUAUAUAGACGUUCCAAAAUAAUUGUCCAAGCAAAUAUGCACACAUUCAAAUGCUGGGUUAAAUUUUCAACCCAGGAGUUGGAUUUGUCCUCAUUUGAUUUGGCGUUUGAAAUCACAAAAAUUGUUCGCCGUUUGUUCAGUUUACUCAUUUAAAAUAACUCAAACAACAAUUCUUGAGUCUUAAUGCUCUUGAGCGCUUAAUCGUUUUGUGUUCAAUCCACAUAAAUUUGUAAAAACCAUUAAGUUAAGUCCUUCAUGUUGUCUCAACACCAACUGAUUGUGGAACUCAGCAUUUACUUAAUGCAAGGGAUCCAAACAAGAGUGUUCAGUUUUCGAUCAGAACAUAAUUAGCAUGAACACCUUCUGGCACAUCCAGCUCUCGGCUAGAAAUAAAACAAGAUCUGUGGAUAACUCUACACAAAGACUAACACAUUAACAAAUUGCUGAAACCUGCAGUCACUUAAAGUCAUAAUGAAACUUAAAUAUCACCAUUUUAAAGUAAACAUUUGAGCUAAACACGGAGCAGAACUGCUUUCCUCAAGCAAUCUAAAUCACAACCUUAUUUUAUUCAAAUCUAAAACUGUCGUAAGUGAACAAAAGCUCUGGUAGUAAAAACAUGGUAAUUGCCUUGCUUGGCCUUCAAGAAAUCAGAAUAUUGUGUGCUAACUUGUGGGUAACAAGUUCCACUUAGCUAAAAACCAACAAAAAGCCUUGAACUGCAACAUUAUUUGGUUUACACUGGAAUCUGACAGGGAUUCUCACCAUAUGUCGGUCCAACAGUUGCCUAGAAUUACAAAACCCAGUCAGAGCCAUGAUUCACCUGGACACUGCAGCUACCUGCAUGCACUGGACCUGCAGCUGUACACUGACAUGUAGCUAGCUAAUUAACACAAGUGGCACUAAUAAAGCUUCCUAAUUGACCCUUCGCUUAGCUCCGCCUCCCCCAUGCAACUAGCUUGCUUUAUUGUCAUGCAAGCCUUUGGAAAUUCUGUUCAAGGAGUUUUAAAACUUUGAACAUAAAUUGCUCACAUAUAUGGUACACGAUUGCUUGAGCUGUUACUCUUAUUAAUAAUAAAAUAAUCAAAAUAAUAUAGUUUAGUAGUUUACAUUAGGAAUAGAAUUACAUUUUUGAGUAGUUUAAAGCUGGCUAUUUUUUAUCUGUAUCUAACAGAAAAAACAUAGAGAAUAUUAUUUUAAUUUUACUUUAAUGGGUAGAAACCAUUAAUAAAAGAUUUAGGCAAAAAUAUUUCUGAGUGCACAGGUAAUACCUUCAAGACAAAAAGGUUCAAGACAAAAAAGGUUAAGGACAAAAAGAUCCACUGUUCUUUCCCUGCUUUUUCUUAGGACACCCACCACCAGACGUUUCCUACAGUAGACAUUUAGCUUAUUUAUUUAUAUAAUUAUUGGAUUAUUAGAUAUAAAAAAAAUCCCUUUAUAAACAAAAAAAAUAAAUACCCUUUAUAUAUACACACACACACACACACACACACACACUACCUGAUAAAUAAUAACUACAACAAAUAAUAACUUGACUUCUAGUUGAUCAUUUGGAAAAGUGGCAAAAGGUAGAUUUUUCCGAUGAAUCAUCACAAAUACUGCAGAAGACCUGUUGAAACCCGCAUGGACCCAAGAUUCUCACAGAAAUCAGUCAAGUAUGGUGAUGGAAAAAUCAUGGUUUGGGGUUACAUUCAGUAUGGCGGCGUGCGAGAGAUCUGUAGAGUGGAUGGCAACAUCAACAGCCUGAGGUAUAAAGACAUUUGUGCUGCCCAUUACAUUACAAACCACAGGAGAGGGCAAAUUCUUCAGCAGGAUAGAUCUCCUUCCAUACUUCAGCCUCCACAUCAAAGUUCCUGAAAGCAAAGAAGGUCAAGGUGCUCCAGGAUUGGCCAGCCCAGUCACCAGACAUAAACAUUAUUGAGCAUGUCUGGGGUAAGAUGGAGGAGACAUUGAAGAUGAAUCCAAAGAGUCAUGUUGAACUCUGGGAAUCCUGCAAGAACACUUUCUUUGCCAUUCCAGAUGACUUUAUUAAUAACUUAUUUGAAUCAUUGCAGAGAUGUAUGGAUGCAGUCCUCCAAGCUUAUGUGAGUCAUACACAAUAUUAAUUCUUU